ACAAGUCUGUUGGAAUACAGCGUCAUAGUGGUGAGAACCCCGUAACUGAUGCAGAUGCCCGGUGCUUUGUGAUAUACUUUCGAAGAGUCGAGUUGUUUGGGAAUGCAGCUCAAAUUGGGUGGUAAAUUCCAUCUAAAGCUAAAUAUUGGCGAGAGACCGAUAGCGAACAAGUACCGUGAGGGAAAGAUGAAAAGCACUUUGGAAAGAGAGUUAACAGUACGUGAAAUUGUUGGAAGGGAAACGCUUGAAGUCAGACUUGCUAUUUGGAAUUCAGCCGCAAGGUGUACUUUUCAAUUCGCAGGCCAGCAUCAGUUUUUGGGGGUGGAAAAGGGUAGAGAGAAGGUAGCAGUUUCGGCUGUGUUAUAGCUCUUUGCUGGAUUCAUCCUUGGGGACUGAGGAACGCAGCACGCUUUUUGCAAGGCUUUCGAGCUUUUCGUGCUUAGGAUGCUGGUGGAAUGGCUUUAAACGACCCGUCUUGAAACACGG
rnacentral:rRNA from 1 species